rnacentral:tRNA from 1 species
GAAAGAAUGGCUGAGAGGCUUAAAGCGUUGGUUUGCUAAAUCAAAAUGUGAGUUUUAUUACAUCGUGGGUUCGAAUCCCACUUCUUUCU